rnacentral:rRNA from 1 species
AUUGAACGCUGGCGGCAGGCCUAACACAUGCAAGUCGAGCGGAUGAAGGGAGCUUGCUCCUGGAUUCAGCGGCGGACGGGUGAGUAAUGCCUAGGAAUCUGCCUGGUAGUGGGGGAUAACGUCCGGAAACGGGCGCUAAUACCGCAUACGUCCUGAGGGAGAAAGUGGGGGAUCUUCGGACCUCACGCUAUCAGAUGAGCCUAGGUCGGAUUAGCUAGUUGGUGGGGUAAAGGCCUACCAAGGCGACGAUCCGUAACUGGUCUGAGAGGAUGAUCAGUCACACUGGAACUGAGACACGGUCCAGACUCCUACGGGAGGCAGCAGUGGGGAAUCUCGGACAAUGGGCGAAAGCCUGAUCCAGCCAUGCCGCGUGUGUGAAGAAGGUCUUCGGAUUGUAAAGCACUUUAAGUUGGGAGGAAGGGCAGUAAGUUAAUACCUUGCUGUUUUGACGUUACCAACAGAAUAAGCACCGGCUAACUUCGUG